rnacentral:snoRNA from 11 species
GUGGCUUUUACAUGUUUUAAAGAUUCAUGCUUUGAAUAAUUCAAAUGUGAAGCUUGUUAUGAAUGUAUCAGCCUACAUUAAAUUUAGUUUCCCUCGCUAUCCUGUUCGUCAAUUACGAUGAUGUUACUUAGGACGUCGGGGAACAAUAUUU